UACGUAGGGGGCAAGCGUUGUUCGGAAUUACUGGGCGUAAAGGGCGCGUAGGCGGCAUGGCAAGUCGGGAGUGAAAGCCCGGGGCUCAACCCCGGAACUGCUUUCGAAACUGCCGAGCUAGAGUGCGGAAGAGGCAACUGGAAUUCCCAGUGUAGCGGUGAAAUGCGUAGAUAUUGGGAAGAACACCGGAGGCGAAGGCGGGUUGCUGGGCCGACACUGACGCUGAGGCGCGAAAGCCAGGGGAGCGAACGGG
rnacentral:rRNA from 1 species